rnacentral:rRNA from 1 species
GAUGAACGCUGGCGGCGUGCCUAAUACAUGCAAGUCGAGCGAACGGACGAGAAGCUUGCUUCUCUGAUGUUAGCGGCGGACGGGUGAGUAACACGUGGAUAACCUACCUAUAAGACUGGGAUAACUUCGGGAAACCGGAGCUAAUACCGGAUAAUAUUUUGAACCGCAUGGUUCAAAAGUGAAAGACGGUCUUGCUGUCACUUAUAGAUGGAUCCGCGCUGCAUUAGCUAGUUGGUAAGGUAACGGCUUACCAAGGCAACGAUGCAUAGCCGACCUGAGAGGGGGAUCGGCCACACUGGAACGGAGCCACGGACCAGACGCCUACGGGAGGCAGCAGUAGGGAAUCGUCCGCAAUGGGCGAAAGCCUGACGGAGCAACGCCGCGUGAGUGAUGAAGGCCUUCGGAUCGUAAAACUCUGUUAUUAGGGAAGAACAUAUGUGUAAGUAACUGUGCACAUCUUGACGGUACCUAAUCAGAAAGCCACGGCUAACUACGUG